AACGGACUCGGAUUGAAACCUAGUGAUUUCCGAGUUAGUGGCGGACGGGUGAGUAACGCGUGGAUAACCUGCCGUAUGCAGGGGGAUAACAGUUGGAAACAGCUGCUAAUACCGCAUAAGCGCACAAUACCGCAUGGUACGGUGUGAAAAGAUUUAUCGGCAUACGAUGGAUCCGCGUCCGAUUAGCCAGUUGGCGGGGUAACGGCCCACCAAAGCGACGAUCGGUAGCCGGCCUGAGAGGGCGGACGGCCACAUUGGGACAGAGACACGGCCCAAACUCCUACGGGAGGCAGCAGUGGGGAAUAUUGCACAAUGGGGGAAACCCUGAUGCAGCGACGCCGCGUGAGUGAAGAAGUAUCUCGGUAUGUAAAGCUCUAUCAGCAGGGAAGAAAAUGACGGUACCUGACUAAGAAGCCCCGGCUAACUACGUGCCAGCAGCCGCGGUAAUACGUAGGGGGCAAGCGUUAUCCGGAUUUACUGGGUGUAAAGGGAGCGUAGACGGCGCUGCAAGUCCGGAGUGAAAGCCCAUGGCUUAACCAUGGUACUGCUCUGGAAACUGUGGAGCUUGAGUGCGGGAGGGGCAGGCGGAAUUCCUAGUGUAGCGGUGAAAUGCGU
rnacentral:rRNA from 1 species